rnacentral:rRNA from 1 species
AUUGAACGCUGGCGGCAGGCUUAACACACGCAAGUCGAGCGGGGUGAUGGUGCUUGCACUAUCACUUAGCGGCGGACGGGUGAGUAAUGCUUAGGAAUCUGCCUAUUAGUGGGGGACAACAUCUCGAAAGGGAUGCUAAUACCGCAUACGUCCUACGGGAGAAAGCAGGGGAUCACUUGUGACCUUGCGCUAAUAGAUGAGCCUAAGUCGGAUUAGCUAGUUGGUGGGGUAAAGGCCUACCAAGGCGACGAUCUGUAGCGGGUCUGAGAGGAUGCUCCGCCACACUGGGACUGAGACACGGCCCAGACGCCUACGGGAGGCAGCAGUGGGGAAUAUUGGACAAUGGGGGGAACCCUGAUCCAGCCAUGCCGCGUGUGUGAAGAAGGCCUUAUGGUUGUAGAGCACUUUAAGCGAGGAGGAGGCUCUUUUGGUUAAUACCCAAGAUGAGUGGACGUUACUCGCAGAAUAAGCACCGGCUAACUCUGUGCCAGCCGCCGCCGUAA